rnacentral:rRNA from 1 species
GGACGGGUGAGUAACACGUGAGCAACCUGCCUUUCAGAGGGGGAUAACGGCUGGAAACGGUCGCUAAUACCGCAUGACGUGUUCGGAUGGCAUCAUCUGAACAUCAAAGAUUUAUCGCUGAAAGAUGGGCUCGCGUCUGAUUAGAUAGUUGGUGGGGUAACGGCCUACCAAGUCUACGAUCAGUAGCCGGACUGAGAGGUUGAACGGCCACAUUGGGACUGAGAUACGGCCCAGACUCCUACGGGGGGCAGCAGUGGGGAAUAUUGCACAAUGGGGGAAACCCUGAUGCAGCAACGCCGCGUGAAGGAUGACGGUUUUCGGAUUGUAAACU